rnacentral:rRNA from 1 species
GACGAACGCUGGCGGCGUGCCUAAUACAUGCAAGUCGAGCGGACCUCUUCGGAGGUCAGCGGCGGACGGGUGAGUAACACGUGGGCAACCUGCCUGUAAGACUGGGAUAACACCGGGAAACCGGUGCUAAUACCGGAUAAUCCUUUUCCUCACAUGAGGGGAAGCUGAAAGACGGCAUCUCGCUGUCACUUACAGAUGGGCCCGCGGCGCAUUAGCUAGUUGGUGGGGUAACGGCCCACCAAGGCGACGAUGCGUAGCCGACCUGAGAGGGUGAUCGGCCACACUGGGACUGAGACACGGCCCAGACUCCUACGGGAGGCAGCAGUAGGGAAUCUUCCGCAAUGGACGAAAGUCUGACGGAGCAACGCCGCGUGAGCGAAGAAGGCCUUCGGGUCGUAAAGCUCUGUUGUCAGGGAAGAACACGUACCGGAGUAACUGCCGGUACCUUGACGGUACCUGACCAGAAAGCCACGGCUAACUACGUGCCAGCAGCCGCCGCAGUAA